rnacentral:rRNA from 1 species
GAUGAACGCUGGCGGCGUGCCUAAUACAUGCAAGUCGAGCGAAGCGGGGACGGGUGAGUAACACGUGGAUAACCUCCUAUACGACUGGGAUAACUUCGGGAAACCGGAGCUAAACCUGAUACUUAUCUAUGGAUCCGCGCUGCAUUAGCUAGUUGGUAAGGUAACGGCUUACAAAGGCAACGAUGCAUAGCCGACCUGAGAGGUUGAUGACCCACACUGGAACUGAGACACGGUCCAGACUCCUACCUUGAACCUCAGGAAAUAAUCUUCCGCAAUGAGCGAAAGCCUGAGUGAGCAACGCCGCGUGAGUGAUGAAGGUCUUCGGAUCGUAAAACUCUGUUAUUAGGGAAGCGGUACCUAAUCAGAAAGCCAGGGCUAACUACGUGCCAGCCGCCGCGGUAAUAC